rnacentral:tRNA from 1 species
GGGAAAGUGACUCAGUGGUAGAGUGCUUGCCUGGCAUGCAUGAGGCCCUGGGUUCAAUUCCUCAGCACCA